rnacentral:tRNA from 1 species
UCCCUUUUAGCUUAGCUGGUAAAGAAUCCACCUGCAAUGUGGGAGACCUGGGUUCGAUCCCUGGGUUGGGAA